AGCAGCCGCGGUAAUUCCGGCUCCAAUAGCGUAUAUUAAAGUUGUUGCAGUUAAAAAGCUCGUAGUUGAAUUUCGGGAUCAAUACGUCGGUCGUGCUUAGGUACGUACUGGCGUAAUUGAUUUCUCCCUUCUGACGAACCAUGAUGUCAUUAACUUGGUGUCAUGGGAAAUCAGGACUGUUACUUUGAAAAAAUUAGAGUGUUUAAAGCAGGCUCACGCUUGAAUACAUUAGCAUGGAAUAAUGAAAUAGGACGUUCGAUCCUAUUUUGUUGGUUUUUAGGAUCAACGUAAUGAUUAAUAGGGAUAGUUGGGGGCAUUAGUAUUCAAUUGUCAGAGGUGAAAUUCUUGGAUUUAUUGAAGACUAACUACUGCGAAAGCAUUUGCCAAGGAUGUUUUCAUUAAUCAAGAACGAAAGUUAGGGGAUCGAAGACGAUCAGAUACCGUCGUAGUCUUAACCAUAAACUAUGCCGACUAGGGAUCGGAUGAUGUUAAUUUUUUAAUGACUCAUUUCGGCGCCUUACGG
rnacentral:rRNA from 1 species